UGCAGUCGAACGGUAGCAGGAAGUGCUUGCACUUUCGCUGACGAAGUGGCGGACGGGUGAGUAAUGCUUGGGAACUUGCCUUUAGGUGGGGGAUAACAGUUGGAAACGACUGCUAAUACCGCAUAAUGUCUACGGACCAAAGGGGGCUUCGGCUCCCGCCUUGAGAGAGGCCCAAGUGAGAUUAGCUAGUUGGUGGGGUAAAGGCCUACCAAGGCAACGAUCUCUAGCUGUUCUGAGAGGAAGAUCAGCCACACUGGGACUGAGACACGGCCCAGACUCCUACGGGAGGCAGCAGUGGGGAAUAUUGCACAAUGGGGGAAACCCUGAUGCAGCCAUGCCGCGUGUGUGAAGAAGGCCUUCGGGUUGUAAAGCACUUUCAGUUGUGAGGAAAGGUUGGUAGUUAAUACCUGCCAGCUGUGACGUUAACAACAGAAGAAGCACCGGCUAACUCCGUGCCAGCAGCCGCGGUAAUACGGAGGGUGCGAGCGUUAAUCGGAAUUACUGGGCGUAAAGCGCACGCAGGCGGCUUGUUAAGCUAGAGGUGAAAGCCCCGCGCUCAACGUGGGAACUGCCUUUAGAACUGGCAGGCUAGAGUCUU
rnacentral:rRNA from 1 species